rnacentral:rRNA from 1 species
GACGAACGCUGGCGGCGUGCUUAACACAUGCAAGUCGAACGAAGAGCGAUGGAAGCUUGCUUCUAUCAAUCUUAGUGGCGAACGGGUGAGUAACGCGUAAUCAACCUGCCCUUCAGAGGGGGACAACAGUUGGAAACGACUGCUAAUACCGCAUACGAUCUAAUCUCGGCAUCGAGGAUAGAUGAAAGGUGGCCUCUACAUGUAAGCUAUCACUGAAGGAGGGGAUUGCGUCUGAUUAGCUAGUUGGAGGGGUAACGGCCCACCAAGGCGAUGAUCAGUAGCCGGACUGAGAGGAUGAACGGCCACAUUGGGACUGGGACACGGCCCAGACUCCUACGGGGGGCAGCAGUGGGGAAUCUUCCGCAAUGGACGAAAGUCUGACGGAGCAACGCCGCGUGAGGGAUGACGGCCUUCGGGUUGUAAAGCUCUGCUAAUCGGGACGAAAGGCCUUCUUGCGAAUAGUGAGAAGGAUUGACGGUACCGGAAUAGAAAGCCACGGCUAACUACGUG